UGCACGCGAGCGCCAAAAAAAACCGCCGAACUUUGGUACUCCACAUCCCGAACACUGUUUUCUUUUCCGUCCCUCUCUUCCUGCCGGCGGCGGCUAUCGGAAGUAGCAAGACGAGCCUGCAGCCGGCGGCGGGGAACGACGAGCGGGGGUCAGUGCGGCCUCCCCCAUGCCCACCGGCAAAGCUACGCCUCACCCACCUCACCGCAUUUGCCGUCGUCGCCCUCUACCUCCCCGGCUUCAUCGCCUUCGCAAGGGUGAUUUUGUCCUGCUAGGGUGCCGCGGUGAUGAGGUGGUGGUAAAUGGGAGCCAUGGCAGAGGCGGAGCACGGGGGCUGCAUGGAGAACCAGGAGGCAUCGAGCUCCUCGGCCUCGGAAGGGAGCAGCCAAUAGAUGUCCCGAUUCUGGAUUGUAGUAUCUACAUUUUUUGUUUCUUGGCGUAUAUUUUCGGCCUUGGAUCUUAUGCUGACCAGUUCUAGGAAUUUGGUUCUAGGAUUCAGAUGUGGAAACUCAGAGAUGGCCGCACAAAAGCAGAUAACGUCCAGGCUCCUCCUCAGCUGCAGCCAAAGAGCUCUCCAGCUAUGGAGCAAAUUGAAUAAUGGGGAAAGGUGAUUUUCAACAGCAAUCCAGUAAAGGAGCAAUAGAAGCAAUCUCUCAUGUCGCUGGCAAGAUAACUGUUUCAUCACCAGAUUUGGGGUGGAUCUAGGCAAAGCUGUAAGGCCACUGUCCAAGGAGUAUCUGGUGAAAAAGAUUGAUAGAAUUGACUUAAUGGCAAUGGUGGGAGUGUUUGGAUCAGUUUUCAGUGGCAUACAGAUAAGUAUUCUUGAGUGAGAAGAACUUCAUUCUAUUAAAUGGAAUGUUGAUCCGGCCUUGGCAUUGACCGGCUAGCAAUGUUGUUGACGAACUCUGCUAGCAUAAGGGGUGUUAUUGCUUUUCCAGUUCUGAAUCUUCACCAAUAGGACCUUUUCUCGGGAUAAGAAGAGAUGCAAUUUUGACAAUGUUGAUUUGUACUAAUUAAUAGGAGGCAAAAUCUUCAGUUAUUGGCAGAGCUAGACUUGAGUGACACACCUGGAGCCUGGAGAUGCCACCAUCGGUGAUUCUUUCCAUUGACAAGUGAGGACAGGAUCUUUUGUCUUACCAGGUGCCAUGCUAUGGAAAACAGUGGGAUUUGCCCGGCUAAGAUUUACAUAAACAAACAAAAAAAAAUUCUAGGCAGUGCCACGGAAAGCAUUGAGCUCAUCAUCAGGAUGACACGAAAAGAAGUCGGCGUAGCUUCAUCUGAACACUGGAUUUUCCUAUGACGAGGUUUCUACCUGAUUGUGAGUUAAGGACUGUUUUUGUUCAAGCAUCGUUUUGUAUGUAAAGUGAACCGUGUAACGAUCGUUACAUGUAUCAGCCACUUUUUGUAUUUUCAUCAAGAAAAAUCAAAUGUACACGUUGUUUUCUGGUAGUCAUUGCCAUAAACAAGUUUUUUAAGUUACAUAUUAUGGAAAUCAAUCAGAAACCAA